GGCGAGACUCCAGAGAGAGACACACACAAAGUAACCGUGUCCACAUGGUGGGUGUAAUGGCUGCGAUGCACAAAUCAAAAUAAUUAACAACGACUAACCGGCUGCCAAGGUGUGAAAGAGAAAUUUCACGAGUAAUGAAAUUAACAUCAGCAUGUCACCCUGCCAGAAUCAGUCUGAGUGGAAUUGUCUACCCUGGGAGCCAGCCUGUGUUUACCCCGCCCAUAAGAAUUUGAGUGUGGCUACGGCAGGCUAUAGGAGUUGUCCUCUAUGUCUCACUGUAUAUCUGUUAUCUCAAUAUGGGGAUCUCCAGAGGACAUUUUGAAGGACAUUUUUGUCACAAAAACUAAAAAUUGUUUCAGCAUUAUAAAAUGGAUAAUAUUUCAUAAACGGAGUAAACCGAUAUGACAGAUAUUCCUAAGCAGGAUCAGCCAAAUGAGUCUGUGCUAAUAGCUUUUAAUGUGAUGGCCAUACUUUGUCAAACAGUCCAGGAAAAGGUUGUCAAAGCUUAAU